CAGUGGGAGAGUCUGGUUAACCGCUAUUGCGGUUGACCGGCGCCGAAGGAGCAACCGCCCCGGGAAACUCUCAGGCCUCCGGACCGCAGGGA
rnacentral:ncRNA from 1 species